GUGCGUAACACGUGGGUACUCUUGGAGCCCGGAAUAACUCCCCGAAAGGGGUGCUAAUACCGGAUAAGACCACGAGGGCUUCGGCUCUCGCGGGAAAAGGCGGCCUCUGUACACAAGCUGUCACUCCAAGAUGAGCCCGCGGCCCAUCAGCUAGUUGGCGGGGUAACGGCCCACCAAGGCUACGACGGGUAGCUGGUCUGAGAGGACGAUCAGCCACACUGGAACUGAGACACGGUCCAGA
rnacentral:rRNA from 1 species